rnacentral:pre_miRNA from 1 species
UUUAAGCAACAAUGAGUUUUUCGUCUAACUUUGGUCGUCCAUCUUAUUUAAAAAUAUUUUAUAAUUAGUAUUUUUAUUAUUAUGAGAUGAUGAAAUAUAAAUAGUACCUAUGACUUAUGUUUUUAAUUUUUUUUCAAUUUUUUUAAUUAAGACAGAUGAUCAAAAUUAAGCACGGAAAAUUAUGGUAGAAGUACUC